rnacentral:lncRNA from 1 species
CUCAGAACUGCAACAGCCAGGUGCAGUGAGAGCAACCUUGAAGCUGCUUGCAGUUCAGGCAAGCCUAUCUCUGGGACCCAUGCCACUCACACAGUUUACCUUACUUUGCAUCUUCUCUAUCUCUGCCUAUGGGAGACUGUACAGCAGCAGAUCCUGAUCCUGAUCCCUUUCCAGACAUUUUUGGUGUGCCUGCAGGACAUGGGAGCCUUGACUUGAAGGUGUCCAGCAGAAGACUCUAUUGCCCUGCUUACUCUGAUAAGGGCAGAGGUGAAGGAAAAGAGGGGGCAGAGUCUUUCAUCCUAACAUAAAAAAAACUGUUUGCACUGACUGUGAGAAUCUCUACUGUCUUAAUCAAGACUGAAGUUCAACUUCUGCAGGGUCAACAUUAGAAAUAUUUUCUGGUAAUUCUGAUAAUUCCAUCUGAAUGUCAGAUGAAUGCAUAGGGGUUUCACCUAUCCAGCAGCAUGGUUUUCUGCUCCAUUGUAUAAUUGCUUUAAAAAUGGGAUUAAAUAGAAAAACAACAAUUAGGUUCUUUUUUACAUUCCUUUUUAUUUAAAAGCUUUGGAUUCUUAUUUCAAACUUUCCUGAACAGAAGUAGCAGGUGAAAUUGAUACUUUGCAAAUGAAAAUAAGAUUCCCAAAUACUCAUGUGAUUUUAGAUGCCAAAACUUAGGAAAAUGAAGGAAAUAACAUCCCAAGAUGCUUCAUAAAACUGUGAAAGUUGGAAGUAGAGAGGCUAGAAAGUUUUAACUGUGAACAUUCUUUGGCAGCAAAAGAUAUAGGAGUUUUUCUCUGUAGAGAAUGCAACUUUGAAAUGAGACUGGAAGGACUACAUUUCAAUUUAAUGUUGAGAUUACUGUUUAAAAUGAAUUGUGUACUCUUUAUAAAGACAUUCUGUUAAAAUUGUCAAACUGUUCCAGUGUUUCAGCUCCAAAUCACCUGAGUUGUCAAAAUUUUCUGCAAAAAUGUAAAAAAAUACAAAAGUAAAAGAAGUUGAAAAAAAAAAGUAUUUUCCAGCAGUGUCAAAUAGAUUAUUACAGUUUAAGGUACAGGUUCAGAAACAAUAAGAACGGGCCAUGAAUGAUUCAGCCAUAAAAUUUGUUAAUGUGUCAUCCAAAAGUCCCUCCAUAUACUCUUGUUUUGAAAGGUCAAGUUUUGCUAAAAACAAGAGUGCUCCAGAUAAGAUGGUCCCUGGAGGUCUAGUCUACUUUCAAAAACUGAGCUGCACAAAAUAGGUAGAUAGUAGGCAGAAGGAAGAAAAACUAGUUUGCUCAUCACCUGCAGAGGGGCAACAAGACCUGCUGGAGUG